rnacentral:rRNA from 1 species
CCUACGGGGGGCAGCAGUCGAGGAUCUUCGGCAAUGGGCGCAAGCCUGACCGAGCGACGCCGCGUGCGGGAUGAAGGCCUUCGGGUUGUAAACCGCUGUCAGUGGGGAGGAAAUGCAGGUGGGUUCUCCCAUCUGUUUGACCUAUCCGCAGAGGAAGGGUGGGCUAAGUUCGUGCCAGCAGCCGCGGUAAGACGAACCACCCAAACGUUAUUCGGUAUUACGGGCGUUAAAGGGUGCGUAAGUUGCGCGUGAAAUCCCUCGGCUCAACCGAGGAACUGCGCCCAAAACUACUGUGCUCGAGGGAGACAGAGGUGAGCGGAACUUAGGGUGGAGCGGUGAAAUGCGUUGAUAUCCUAAGGAACACCCGUGGCGAAAGCGGCUCACUGGGUCUCUUCUGACGCUGAUGCACGAAAGCUAGGGGAGCGAACGGGAUUAGAUACCCCUGUAGUC